CGCGUAGGUGGUAGUGAAAGUCUAUGGUGGAAUCUUAGGGCUUAACCCUAAAACUGCCUUGGAAACUUCAUUACUUGAGUCAGUGAGGGGAGGGUAGAAUUCCUGGUGUAGCGGUGAAAUGCGUAGAUAUCAGGAGGAAGGCCGGUGGCGAAGGCGGCCCUCUGGCGCUGAACUGACGCUGAGGCGCGAAAGCGUGGGUAGCAAACAGGAUUAGAUACCCUGGUAGUCCACGCCCUAAACGGUGGGUACUAGGUGUAGGGCUCGUAAGGGUUCUGUGCCGAAGGGAAACCAUUAAGUACCCGCCUGGGGAGUACGGCCGCAAGGUUGA
rnacentral:rRNA from 1 species